GUGAGACAGGUGCUGCAUGGCUGUCGUCAGCUCGUGUUGUGAAAUGUUGGGUUAAGUCCCGCAACGAGCGCAACCCUUAUCCUUUGUUGCCAGCGAUUAGGUCGGGAACUCAAAGGAGACUGCCAGUGAUAAACUGGAGGAAGGUGGGGAUGACGUCAAGUCAUCAUGGCCCUUACGACCAGGGCUACACACGUGCUACAAUGGCGCAUACAAAGAGAAGCGACCUCGCGGGGGGG
rnacentral:rRNA from 1 species